UAUCAACGUAAAAUAAUAUUCGUAUGUAAGUAACGCCUUUAAUUGUGAGCGCGUGUGGGGGGCUAUUACCUUGUCUCUCUGUCCUUUUUGGCUCUUCCGUUUUUCUCAAUAUACCUCGGCCGGACAACGACCAAAAAGCUUUCAACACCUUCGUCACUUUCACAGCUCUCCAUCUUCUUCAGAUUCUACUCUCUGUCUCUGUUUCUGGGCUUGUGAGUUUUGUUCAAGAUGAACGACCUGCUUACGGAUUCGUUUGUCAGUGAGGCAAGUGCUCAGCCUUCCGGAACAAAUGAUAUCGAAAUGGGAAGGCCAAUUCCCCGCAGCGUGUCUGAUGGCGGAAUGGAUAGUUUCAACAAGCAGAUCCAAGAGGUUGAGAAACAGGUGGAAAAGCUCUCCGGGCUUCUUAAAAAACUUAAGGAUGCGAAUGAGGAGUCGAAGGCUGUUACAAAAGCAUCUGCCAUGAAAGCAAUCAAAAAGCGGAUGGAAAAAGAUAUUGAUGAAGUGGGAAAGAUUGCCCGUGGUGUCAAAGGAAAACUAGAAGCAAUAAGCAAAGAUAACUUAGCCAACCGACAGAAGCCUGGAUGUGAGAAGGGAACAGGUGUUGACAGAUCAAGGAUGAACAUGACAAAUUCAUUGACGAAAAAGUUUAGGGAGAUAAUGAUCGAAUUUCAGACCCUUAGACAAAGAAUCCAAGAUGAAUAUCGUGAGGUUGUGGAGAGAAGAGUCAUUACAGUUACAGGAACUAGACCAGAUGAAGAGACAAUUGACAAUCUAAUAGAAACUGGAAAUAGUGAGCAAAUAUUCCAGAAGGCAGUCCAAGAACAGGGACGAGGACAGGUACUAAAUACUUUGGAAGAAAUUCAAGAGAGGCAUGACACCGUAAAAGAAAUUGAGAAAAAGCUUCUUGACUUGCAUCAGAUCUACCUCGAUAUGGCAGUCUUGGUUGAUGCUCAAGGAGAGGUUUUAGAUAACAUUGAAACUCAGGUGACAAAUGCAGUGGACCAUGUACAAUCAGGGACAGAUGCUCUACACACUGCAAAGAGCUUGCAAAAGAAGUCAAGAAAAUGCAUGAUCAUUUCCAUGGUCUUGCUCUUGAUCAUUGCUCUCAUUAUUGUCCUCUCUAUUCUCAAGCCAUGGAAGAAGUAAUAACCGCUCCAAGCAAGCUUAAGAAUCCUCCAGACAUAGUCUAAUACUUAUACAACUUCACUCACAAUAUUUACAAGAAAAGGAGCGAAACUUGUCCGAUGGGAGCUGCAUUUGCAGGCACGUAGGGUGAUGCCAUGCACUUGGAGUCACCAUGCUUAAUUGUCUUCUUCUUUUCCACUUUCAGAUGAUGUCACUAGGCUAUUUUUGCACAUAACUGAUUCUGUUUUUCAGUUUCGAGCUUUUGUUAUUAUUUUAGUUACUCAACUGCCUCAGUUGUGCCUCGCUAAGUUAGUCGCUAGGCCUCUUCAUGACUCUUCAGUAUGCUUUCUGGGUUUGAAGUGCUCAUGACCAAUUAAA